rnacentral:miRNA from 1 species
GAGUGGGGAGGAGAGAGGGACAGAGAGCCUGCUUGGUUUAAAGGAACCAACCAGACAAGAGCUGCUUACACGAGUGUAAGCAGCUCCUCUCCUCUCCCGCUUUGCUCCUUUAAAGAAGCAGGCUCUCUGUCCCUCUCUCCUCCCCACUCA